rnacentral:lncRNA from 1 species
UGUGUAUUCAUACUUGUGAUGUGUGUGUGUGUUUCAACCCUAUGUAUCUUUCUAGGUGGGAGAAAGUGAAUAGAUAUCUAAUAGGUGAGACUGAAAGAGAAGGUCAAUUCGUGAUGAUUGUUGGAGGAAGAGUCAUUGACAGAAGGUGACCACAGGUUGACCAUGAUCUGGACCCGGGGAAUCUGAGAUUCCUCAUCCCCUCCCAGUCCUUUUCAUGUACAUACUGUCCACCUUUCCCACAGAAGAAGCCAUUUUCAAGGACACAACCUUAAAAGAGGAAGGUGUUAAGACCAUCAGGACUGAAUACUUGAUUCAACCCAGGUAAGGCCCCUGUAUAAACUUUUAAGAUUCUGGCAGGUGAGUACAGAUAUCUAUCUGUUCUCUUGGUGGUCACUCUAGUCAAGCCUCUGUUACAAGUUCCCUUGAUUAUUAAACUGUCACCACCUCAUCUGAAGCAGUUUGCUUCUUUCUUCAAUGUCGCUUUUUCCUCCAGGUAUGGGGACCAAUUUUCAAACCAACAGUGAUGUAGUUACAUUUAGUUCAUAAUGUGAAGUAAAUCAGAAUUUAUUCCUCCCACUUGGACAAUUAGCCAUUACUAUUUUGCAUAUAAGAUGAACUACCAAAAUUGUCUAAUGCUAUAAGAAUUUAAAUUUAAUUAAUUAAGAAUCAACACAUUAAUCCAGUGUACAUAUGUCCAGAACAAAACAACUUCAACAGUUUCCUCUUAGGUAUUUAUUAUUCAUGAUCCCUUGGGAAACUAGCUAUACAAUGUUUGAUUUAUUAAAAAAACAAGCAAACAAACAAAAAAAACAGUGUGUUUGAGACUUUCUCCCUAAAAGGGGUUAGAGUCAACAGAACCAAUGGAAGUUUUGCAAAAUCUUGAAAAAAAUUGGUCAUGCCAUUUUCUGACAAUGGGAAAUCUGUUUAUCUAUCCAGGAUAAAGUAAUAAUUGAUUCAAAAUCUCAAAAUAUGAGAGGAAUUAUGUAUUUAUCAUCAAAAGGAUUACAUAGACUAAUCAAAUUGUUGCUUUCUAGGUUUUUCCAGAGACAUACAAAUAUACUGUGGUGAAACAAGUUAUUUCUCAAGCUCUGAGGACUGGUUACAUAGCACCCUUUUUUUCUUUUAGAUGCAUAAAUAAAGAUCAAAAUAUGGGAGUGUUGAUAGACAAAAAUCUCUCUAUAUAUGGGGUCAAUAGAGGAAAACAGCCAAAGUUAAUUAUUAACAUAUAACUGAAGCUGAAUCUCUGCAACUUUUCUAAUAUGCAAAGAGUUAAUAAAACUUCCUAAUAGCUUCUUUCUGUAUUCAAAUAAAGAGAGAGAUAAUAAACAAGCUGAAAUAAAUUGAAAUAGAACGCAAAUGGUCCUUGAGUUGGCAUGGUUAACUUACAUGACUUUAGACUUUACAAUGUAGACACUUUACUUUGAUGUUUGAAUUUUGAUAUUUUCCUAGGCUAGCGAUACAGAGUACAAUACCCUCUCAUGACGGUGGGCUGUGGCCAUGAGUCACAUCUCCAUCAGCCACAAAAUCACUGAGUAGACAAAGGAUACACUUGGUAUUACAAACCGUGUGUACCCAGAUAACCAUUCCAUUUUCACUUUCACUACAGUAUUCAAUAAAUUACAGGAGAUACUCAAUGCUUUAUCAUAAAAUAGGCUUCGUGUUUGAUGAUAUUGCCCAACCAUCGGCUCAUGCAACUCUUCUGAGCACAUUUAAGGUAGGCUACACUGAGCUAUGAUGUUCCAUUAGUUAGGUUGCAUUUUCAAUCAUUAUGGAUUUAUCUGGACCUGGUCCUAUCAUAAGUUGAAGAUUUGGUAAGUAUAGAUUUCUUUAUAAGAAUAAAAAAUAUGGCAAGGAUGGGAGUGGGGGGGGUGAAAUAAUGUCAAAAAUCUUUUCCAGUUUGGAAUCCUAUUGAGAAUCACUGACAAUAUAUUUUUUUUAACAUAGAAUGGGGAAAAAAAAAUCAUGCACAGAAGAAUGGUAAUAAACAUAAACACAGAGAUUCUUAUGGGGUUUUUAAAAUUUUUAUUUUGAAAUAAAUUCAAACUUAUAGAAAAGGUCCAAAAAUAAUGAAAACAUUUCUCAUAUAUCCUUCACUCAUAUUCUCCAAAUGUUAUAGUUUUAUCACAUAUGCUUUCUCUCCCCCUCAACCUCUGACUCAUCCUACUUUUUUUUUUUUUCCAGAAACAUACUUUGUGUCAAAAUGCAGUUCAUAAUUAAAGAAAAAACUUUGGUUCCCAUGUUGCAUUGUCAUCAUAUCUAAUUCAUUUGAUUUAUCUUAAAAGUGUUUUGCCUUUCUUCUUUUUUUUUUUUUUUUAGUGAUCUUGAUAAUUUUGAAUUGCACAGGCCAGUUAUUUUACACAAGGUUCCUCGAUUUGGGUUUGUCUUAAAUUUGCUUAAGAUUAUAUUCAGGCAGCGCUUCGGGGGGGGGAUAGAAGAGCAGUACAUGAUUUGGGGGAGUGGUAGAAGGCGUAGCUUCCAUUGGUUCUAUUACAUCAGUUGAUUAAGGUGUUGUCUGCCAGGUUUCUCUCCUCCCCCUUCCUCCUCCUCCUCCCCUGUCUUCCUCCUCCUUCUUCUCCUCCUGUCCCCCCACCUUCUUUUUUUUUCUUCUUCUUCUUCUUUGCUUUGAAAUUAAUAAAUACCUUGUGGGGAGAUAAGUUGAGACUAUGAUUAUAUAAGUGACUUGUUUAUUAUCAUACUUUUGCUCACUGCUGUUACCAUAAUGGAGAAAUUUGGUGCCAAUUUUUGCACAUUACUCAUGUCAUAUAAGGUAUAUGGUCACACAUCAGGUUAUCUAAACCAUGAGAAUACUUCUAUAAUUAGGAAACUGAAGUAGUAGUCAUUAAUUCCUGCCAUAGUUUUAGAAAGCUAGGAACUCUACGGAUAAUUUUCCUUAUUAUCAAGGAAAUGGAUAAAAGUCAACCUACUUUGCACAAAGCAGAUGACAACUCAUUUAUGUUUGCAAAGUGACAAAAUGGUUUAAAAAUAUUUUAAUAUUUCCAUUUAAAUUGUUAAUGACAAACUACUAAAAAAAAUACCAGUAUGUAUAUAAAUGUUAUUUUACAAAAGGUAUAUUUUUUUAGUCUGGGUUCUCCAGAGAAACAGAACCAAUAAGACAGAGAGAUGGAUAGAUAGAUUUGCUAUAAGAAAUUGGUUCUUAUAUAUCUUAUAUAUCUUGAGUUCUAGGAAACUCAAGAUAUACAGUUGGUGAGCUGGAGGCCAAGGAUAUCAGAUGGUGUAGUCCUAGUUUAGGUCUGAUGGCUAGACAACCAGGAGAACAAAUAGCAUGUGUUCCAGUCUAAGUCUGAGUGUGGAAGCAGGAGAGGACCGAUGCCCCAGCUUAAAGACAGUUAGAUGGAGAGAAAGAAUUGUUCUUUACUCAGAGUUUUAUUCUAUUGACGCCUACAACUGACUGAGUGAGAUCAACCCACACAGGAGAGGGCAACUUGCUUUACUCUGCAGAUUCACAUAGAGAACACCACCGAAUAUUCUCUGAUAAAUUAUAUGGGAAAACAAUCUGGAAAGGAAUGGUUCAGUGUAUAACUGAAUUACUUUGUUGUAUAGCAGAGAUAAUAACAACAUGGAAAAUCAACCAGACUUUAAUAAAAAUUUUAAAAAUGGAAAAAAUGAUGUAAAUAAAUCUCAUUUAGAAAAACUCUGACUAAUAACAGACACACUCAGAAAUACUGUUUAACUGAUUAUCUGAGCACAUAAAAUCAUCACAUUUUUGUUCUAUAUAGGCAUAUUUCAUUUUACUGUACUUUGCUUGUACUUCACAGAUAUUGUGGGGGUUUUUCUUUCUUUUCCUUCUUUCUUUCUUUUUUCUUUUUUUUUUAUAAAUGGAAGGUUUAUAACAUCCCAACAUCAAACAAAUGUAUGGACCCCAUCUUUCCAGCAGAAUUUUCUCACUUCUUAUCUGGAUCACACUUUGGUAAUUACAUGAUUUUUCAAACUUUUUCAUCGUUUAUUAUAUUUGAUACUGUAUUUGUAUUGGAAUUGCCAGGAUGAUACCAAUCAGUGAUCUUUGAGUUACUAUUAUAGAGAGACUAUGACUUCCUGAGGGUUCAGGUGGUGGUUAACAAUAAAGUAUUUUUAAAUUAUGUACUUUUUUUUAGCCAUAAUGCUAUUGUACACUUAAUAGACUGUGUCAUAUAGUGUUACUAUAACUUGCAAAUGCACUGAGAAACCAAAGAUUCUUUGUGACUCUCUUUAUUCAAUUUAUGGUUUGACCUAGAACGAGUCCUGCAAUAUCUCCAAGGUAUGCUUGUAAUCAUUUGGCAUUAGGGAGGAAACAUAUCUGGGGGCAUGUAAAAUUUGCAGUAUUUGUUCACAAUUAAGAUGGAAAUAUUUUACAGGCUUCACAAAAAAAGGUUCAAAACUUAAGAAGUCAAGUUCAAAACUUAGAAGUCUAUUUCUGCUGGAGCUUGAAAUUUGUGAGUCAUUUUCCCAGAAGUAUUGACAAAUACUCCAGGUAUCUGGAACUGUUAAAGGAGAGAGUCAGGACAGAGAUGAGGAUCCGUGUUGUACAUUAACUUUAUUGAGGCUUAUGCAAAGGACACAUUUUAUCAAAGUGCACUUUAAAUAAGUCAAUCAUACCUUAAAAACAGUGUUAAGGAGUUCCCUCAUGGCUCAGCGGGUUAAGGAACUGGCAUUGUCACUGCUGUGGCUCUGGUUAAGCUGUGGUGCGGGUUCCAUCCCUGGCCCAGGAACUUCUGCAUGCGUCUGUGGGGGGCAUGGCCAAAAAACAAAAACAAUAACAAACAAAAAAAGGUUAAAAGUAGUAAACCAAAUUAUAUACAUCCAUGGAAAUCAUGGAAGCCAUCAUGUGAUGUCUUUUUUUUUUUCCUUUUUAGGGCCACACCCACAGCAACUCAGGAUCAGAGCUACAUCUACCUCCUACACCACAGUUCACAGCAACACUGGAUACUUAACCCACUGAGUGAGGUGGGCCAGGGAUUGAACCUAUGUAUUCAUAGAUACUAGUCGGUUUUGUUAUUGCUGAGCCACCACGGGAGCUCCCAUAAUAUCUUUUUAAAAAUAAAUUAUAUUAGAGGAUAGUGGGCUUAUAACGUUGUAUUAAUUUGAAGUGUACAGUGAAGUAAGGUAGUUAUACAUAUACAUAUAUCCAUUACUUUUCAGAUUCUUUUCCCAUAAAGGUUAUUACACAGUAUCAGGUAGAUUUCCCUGUGCUAUACAGUAGGUCUUCGUUAUUAUCUAUCAUAUAUAUAGUAGUUUGUAUAUAUGUCAUCCCAACCCCCUAAUUAAUCCCUCCCCCAGAUGUUUUCCUUUUGGUAACCAUAAGUUUGGUUUCACAAUUUUGGGGUCUGUUUCUGUUUUAUAAGGUCUUUUGUAUCAUCUUUACUAGAUUCCACAUAAUAGUGAUUUCACAUGAUAUGUGUCUUUAUCUGGUUUACUUCGCUGAGUAUGCUAAUCUCUAGGUCCAUCCAUGUUGCUGCAGAUAGUAUUAAUUCUUUCUUAUUUAUGGCUGAGCAAUAUUCUACUAUAUAUAUUUACUACAUCAUCUUAUCCAUUUCUCUGUCAAUGGACAUGCAUGUCGCUUCCAUAUCCUGGGUAUUGUAAAUAGUACUGCAAUGAACACUGGGGUGUAUGUAUUUUUUCGAAUUACAGUUUUCUCUGCAUACAUGCCUAAGUGUGGGUUUGUUGGAUCACAUGGUACUUCUAUAUUUAGUUUUUUAAGGAACUUUCAUACUGUUUUCCACUGUGGUUUCACCAGCCACACCCUCUCCAACAUUUAUUGUUUGUAGAAAAGUAGUAAACCAAAUUAUAUACAUCCAUGAAAGUCAUCAUAUCUUCAGGUGGUGACUAUCUAGCUGCACAGAUUGGAUAAGUUAAUCAAGUAACUUAUUACAUUUUCAUCCUCUUUGUAUUAAGUUAACUGACCUAUGCUAACUGGAUUGUUUUUCAUAUACAGCAAUCAAAAAAUGUUUGACAAUGUGUUCUAUAUUGUCACUAUAGUCUGAUGCUAAAGAGCCUCUCAGUUAAUAAGCACAAUUUCUGGAGUAAAUAUGUAAUAAAAUGUGAUGGGAACAUAACAUUCUAUUACAUUUUUAGAAGUAAAAAUAGAAAUAUAAGGUAUAGAGGGAGUUCCCAUUGUGGUACAUUGGAAAUGAAUCCGACUAGUAACCAUGAGGAUGUGGAUUCGAUCCCUGGCUUCCCUCAGUGGGUCGGGUAUCAGGCAUUGCUGUGAGCGAUGGUGAAGUUCGCAGACAUGGCUCAAAUCCUGCAUUGCUGUGGCUGUAGUGUAGGCCAGCAGCUGUAGCUCUGAUUUGACCACUAGCCUUGGCACUUCCAUAUGCUAUAGGUGCAAUCCCCCUCAAAAAAAAAAAAAA